GACGAACGCUGGCGGCGUGCUUAACACAUGCAAGUCGAGCGGUAAGGCCCUUUCGGGGGUACACGAGCGGCGAACGGGUGAGUAACACGUGGGUGACCUGCCCUCAGCUCUGGGAUAAGCCUGGGAAACUGGGUCUAAUACCGGAUAUGACUCCAUGACGCAUGUUGUGGGGUGGAAAGCCUUGUGCGGCUGAGGAUGGGCCCGCGGCCUAUCAGCUUGUUGGUGGGGUGANGGCCUACCAAGGCGACGACGGGUAGCCGGCCUGAGAGGGCGACCGGCCACACUGGGACUGAGACACGGCCCAGACUCCUACGGGAGGCAGCAGUGGGGAAUCUUGCGCAAUGGGCGAAAGCCUGACGCAGCGACGCCGCGUGAGGGAUGACGGCCUGGUCGUAAC
rnacentral:rRNA from 1 species